rnacentral:rRNA from 1 species
UACGUAGGGUGCGAGCGUUGUCCGGAAUUAUUGGGCGUAAAGAGCUCGUAGGCGGUGUGUCACGUCGGCCGUGAAAACCUGCAGCUUAACUGUGGGCGUGCGGUCGAUACGGGCAUCACUGGAGUUCGGCAGGGGAGACUGGAAUUCCUGGUGUAGCGGUGAAAUGCGCAGAUAUCAGGAGGAACACCGGUGGCGAAGGCGGGUCUCUGGGCCGGUACUGACACUGAGGAGCGAAAGCGUGGGUAGCAAA